rnacentral:lncRNA from 1 species
AGGUGGCAACCAUGCGCACGGUGAAAAAAAUCGGAUAAGUACCACUCCUGCUCGUCUUGCUCAUCCGUUUACCGCUGCUCACUUUUUACCGCACCCCGGUCGCCGGCACGCUCCGCUAACGUCCGUCCACCGCCGACCCUUUCCCUCCACCCCAAGCUUCGCCUGAGCACCCUGCACCUCCGCCGCUAGCAACCGUUCCACC